GGCUCGGUAGCUCAGUUGGUAGAGCAGAGGACUGAAAAUCCUUGUGUCCCCGGUUCGAUUCCGGGCUGAGCCACCA
rnacentral:tRNA from 1 species